rnacentral:rRNA from 1 species
CUGAGAGGAAGGCCCCCCACAUUGGAACUGAGACACGGUCCAACUCCUACGGGAGGCAGCAGUGAGGAAUAGUGGCCACAGGACGGGAGUUUGAACCAGCCAAGUAGCGUGAAGGAUGACUGCCCUAUGGGUUGUAAAAUUCUUUUAUAAGGGAAUAAAGUUUUCCACGUGUGGAAUUUUGAUGUACCAUAUGAAUAAGGAUCGGC